rnacentral:tRNA from 1 species
GGGCCUGUAGAUCAGUGGAAGAUCAUAAUCAUAUUUCAUGAUUUGAAUCUGAAAUCGCUUGGUUCGCAUCCAAGAGGUCACGGGUUCAAUUCCCGUCAGGUCCA